rnacentral:tRNA from 1 species
AUUUAAGUAGUUUAAUUUAAAACACUAAUUUGUGGAGUUAGAAAUGUAAGUAGAUUAACAAUUAAAAGUACCUUAGAUU